AUUGAACGCUGGCGGCAGGCCUAACACAUGCCAGUCGAGCGGAUGAAGGGAGCUUGCUCCUGGAUUCAGCGGCGGACGGGUGAGUAAUGCCUAGGAAUCUGCCUGGUAGUGGGGGAUAACGUCCGUUAACGGGCGCUAAUACCGCAUACGUCCUGAGGGUGAAAGUGGGGGAUCUUCGGACCUCACGCUAUCAGAUGAGCCUAGGUCGGAUUAGCUAGUUGGUGGGGUAAAGGCCUACCAAGGCGACGAUCCGUAACUGGUCUGAGAGGAUGAUCAGUCACACUGGAACUGAGACACGGUCCAGACUCCUACGGGAGGCAGCAGUGGGGAAUAUUGGACAAUGGGCGAAAGCCUGAUCCAGCCAUGCCGCGUGUGUGAAGAAGGUCUUCGGAUUGUAAAGCACUUUAAGUUGGGAGGAAGGGCAGUAAGUUAAUACCUUGCUGUUUUGACGGUACCAACAGAAUAAGCACCGGCUAACUUCGUG
rnacentral:rRNA from 1 species